UACGUAGGGUGCGAGCGUUAAUCGGAAUUACUGGGCGUAAAGCGUGCGCAGGCGGUUUGUUAAGACAGAUGUGAAAUCCCCGGGCUUAACCUGGGAACUGCAUUUGUGACUGGCAAGCUAGAGUAUGGCAGAGGGGGGUAGAAUUCCACGGUGUAGCAGUGAAAUGCGUAGAGAAUGUGGGAGGAAUACCAAUGGCGAAGGCAGCCCCCUGGGUUAACACUGACGCUCCAUGCACGAAAGCGUGGGGAGCAAACAGG
rnacentral:rRNA from 1 species